GACGAACGCUGGCGGCGUGCCUAAUACAUGCAAGUAGAACGCACAGUUUAUACCGUAGCUUGCUACACCAUAGACUGUGAGUUGCGAACGGGUGAGUAACGCGUAGGUAGCCUGCCUGGUAGCGGGGGAUAACUAUUGGAAACGAUAGCUAAUACCGCAUAAUAUUGAUUAUUGCAUGAUAAUUAAUUGAAAGGUGCAAUUGCACCACUACCAGAUGGACCUGCGUUGUAUUAGCUAGUAGGUGAGGUAACGGCUCACCUAGGCGACGAUACAUAGCCGACCUGAGAGGGUGAUCGGCCACACUGGGACUGAGACACGGCCCAGACUCCUACGGGAGGCAGCAGUAGGGAAUCUUCGGCAAUGGACGAAAGUCUGACCGAGCAACGCCGCGUGAGGGAAGAAGGGUUUCGGAUCGUAAAGCUCUGUUGUAAGAGAAGAACGGGUGUGAGAGUGGAAAGUUCACACUGUGACGGUAUCUUACCAGAAAGGGACGGCUAACUACGUG
rnacentral:rRNA from 1 species